AAUCAACGCUGGCGGCGUGCCUCAGACAUGCAAGUCGAACGAUUAAAGCUCUCUUCGGAGAGUGCAUAGAGUGGCGCACGGGUGAGUAACACGUAAGUAAUCUACCUUCGAGUGGGGAAUAACGUCCGGAAACGGACGCUAAUACCGCAUAAUGCAGCGGCAUCGCAAGAUGACAGUUGUUAAAGAAUUUAUUCGCUUGAAGAGGAGCUUGCGGCAGAUUAGCUAGUUGGUAAGGUAAUGGCUUACCAAGGCUACGAUCUGUAACCGGUCUAAGAGGACGGUCGGUCACACUGACACUGAAUAACGGGUCAGACUCCUACGGGAGGCAGCAGUCGGGAAUUUUGGGCAAUGGGCGAAAGCCUGACCCAGCAACGCCGCGUGAAGGAUGAAGUAUUUCGGUAUGUAAACUUCGAAAGAAUGGGAAGAAUCAAUGACGGUACCAUUUAUAAGGUCCGGCU
rnacentral:rRNA from 1 species